rnacentral:snRNA from 1 species
GUGCUCGCUUUGGCAGCACAUAGAUUAAAAAAUGGAGCAAUGCAGGGAAGAUCAGCAUGUUCCCUGCACAAAGGUGACACACAAAUUUUUGAAGCAUGCCAUAUUUUU